rnacentral:rRNA from 1 species
UAGUAAGCGGAGGAAAAGAAACUACAAGGAUUCCCCCAGUAACUGCGAGUGAAAAGGGAAAAGCCCAGCGCCGAAGCCACCGUCCGGUUUUCGGAGCGGACGGAAAGGCAAUGUGGCGUUAAGGAGGAGCCGCCUUGACCUGGCACUUCGUUGACCGGACCGCGGAAGCCCGAGUCCCCCUGACUGGGGCCACGGCCCACGGCGGGUGCAAGGCCCCUUCGGCUUCGCCUCGGCGGACCGGAGGUUGGUGGCUCGUUACUCCUGAGAGUCGGGUUGCUUGAGAGUGCAGCCCUAAGCGGGUGGUAAACUCCACCUAAGGCUAAAUACCACCACGAGACCGAUAGCGAACAAGUACCGUGAGGGAAAGUUGCAAAGAACUUUGAAGAGAGAGUUCAAGAGUACGUGAAACCGCUCAGAGGUAAACGGAUGGGCCCUCGAAGCUCGAACGGGGGGAUUCAGCCCGUCGGCGGCGACCGCUCGAAAUUGAAAUUCCGCACGGAUCCGACGGACCGUGUUGGACUCGUUUCGCGGAUCGUUUUUAAAUUCGCCGGCGGGUGCACUUCCCCCUCAGUAGGACGCCGCGACCGGUCGGGCAACGCUUCGGCUGUGAGAGCGGCCAUGAGGUUACGAGGAAUUCAAAACGGGGGCAGGUAUCCGUUUUCGGAGGGAUCGCGUUCGCUUUUAACCGGGCGACGUAGUCUUCCGAUCGGAGUUACAGCCCCUCCUCGCACCCGUGCCCCGCCACCCGACCGACAAAUUGGUCACGAGAUCGUUGACGCGUGCCCGCGUAAAAAAAUUUUAAUUUUUUUAACGCUCGCCCUCGUCCCGGACAGGCAGAACGCGCCGAGUAAAGAGUUCUUCUCGUCGGUCUUCGGUUUUAAGAUUUAUCUUAGGCCGGGGAUUUGGCGGUCGAAUCCGGCGGACGCCCGCAAAGCCGGGCGGCCGUCGGCUCCGCGUUCGCCGCUGGUUCGCGGGGAAUUUGCGCUCCGGCGUAGAUUGGCACGUCGCUCGCGGUCGGCGGCGAGUAGGUCGGUCACUCAUCCGACUCGUCUUGAANNNNNNNNNNNNNNNNNNNNNCGGGUGCGAGUCGUAGGGUAUGCUCUUUCUCGAUCGAGCUAAACCCGAAGGCGAAAUGAAAGUAAAGGCYUUCUUUUUUCCUCACGGUUUUCGCCUCGCUUUUUUUCGGAAGAGCCGAGGAGUUGCCGCGGGGGAGAGARGGCCGAGGCGGGAUCCCAGAAAUUCGCGAAAAGAGAAAUGUAAAAGUUUUUUUUUUUUCGGUUUCGUACCGGCUCCGAGGUUUUUUUUAAAACCGACGAGUACCGGGGGCGCACCGCCGGCCCGUCUCGACCGCCGGUCGGAGAGUGCCGGAGAGUUUAGGGAUMGCGGCGGGAAGAGUGAACGGGAGUCGGGAGAGAGAGAGAGAUGGCUCGUUUCGGCGGGUUGUUUUUUUUUCCCUUCUUCUCUCGGAAUCUUUUCUUUAGCCCGUCUCUUAACGACCCUCGUCGGGCUCUCUCCGUUUUCCGAUUCAGUCGGCGAGGCGGAGCGAGAGCACGCGCGUUGGGACCCGAAAGAUGGUGAACUAUGCCCGGGCAGGACGAAGCCAGAGGAAACUCUGGUGGAGGUCCGUAGCGAUUCUGACGUGCAAAUCGAUCGUCGGACCCGGGUAUAGGGGCGAAAGACUAAUCGAACCAUCUAGUAGCUGGUUCCCUCCGAAGUUUCCCUCAGGAUAGCUGGCGCUCGGAGAAACCAGUCUCAUCCGGUAAAGCGAAUGAUUAGAGGCAUUGGGGUCGAAACGACCUCAACCUAUUCUCAAACUUUCAAUGGGUGAGAAGUCCGGCUUUCUUAAAGGAAGCCCGGACAUUGGAUGCGAGUGCCCAGUGGGCCACUUUUGGUAAGCAGAACUGGCGCUGUGGGAUGAACCAAAAGCCGGGUUAAGGCGCCCGAUGCGGACGCUUAUCAGACCCCAUGAAAGGUGUUGGUUGCUAUGACAGCAGGANNNNNNNNNNNNNNNNNNNNNNNNNNNNNNNNNNNNNNNNNNNNNNNNNNNNUUUCAUGUGAACAGCAGUUGAACAUGAGUCAGUCGGCCCUAAGGAAUAGGCGAAAGCCGUUCCGAACGACGCCCGGACUUUUUUUUAUUAACUUAAAUAAGAGCCGGUAGCGAUCGAAAGGGAAUCGGGUUAAUAUUCCCGAACCCGGAUGCGGAGAUCGGUCCCCCCUUUUUUUCCUUUUUCGUUUUACGGGAGAGCGAAAGAGGGGGGGCCCGAAGCGGUAACGCGUAACGAACUCGGAGACGCCGGCGGGGGCCCCGGGAAGAGUUUUCUUUUCUUUGUAAAGGACGGACUCCCUGGAAUCGGCUCGCCCGGAGAGAGGGAUGUUGUUCCUGUAAAGCACCGCGGCUCUUGCGGUGUCCGGAGCGCUCUCGCCGGCCCUUGAAAAUCCGAGGGAGUGAAAAAUGAUUUCCGCACCGGACCGUACCCAUAUCCGCAGCAGGUCUCCAAGGUGAACAGCCUCUAGUCGAUAGAACA